AGUGAACGCUGGCGGCAGGCCUAACACAUGCAAGUCGAACGGCAGCACAAGAGAGCUUGCUCUCUGGGUGGCGAGUGGCGGACGGGUGAGGAAUACAUCGGAAUCUACUCUGUCGUGGGGGAUAACGUAGGGAAACUUACGCUAAUACCGCAUACGACCUACGGGAGAAAGCAGGGGACCUUCGGGCCUUGCGCGAUUGAAUGAGCCGAUGUCGGAUUAGCUGGUUGGCGGGGUAAAGGCCCACCAAGGCGACGAUCCGUAGCUGGUCUGAGAGGAUGAUCAGCCACACUGGAACUGGUACACGGUCCAGACUCCUACGGGAGGCAGCAGUGGGGAAUAUUGGACAAUGGGCGCAAGCCUGAUCCAGCCAUACCGCGUGGGUGAAGAAGGCCUUCGGGUUGUAAAGCCCUUUUGUUGGGAAAGAAAUCCAGCUGGCUAAUACCCGGUUGGGAUGACGGUACCCAAAGAAUAAGCACCGGCUAACUUCGUGCCAGCCGCCGCGGUAA
rnacentral:rRNA from 1 species